GCUGCGUACAUGUUGUUGUUGCUGCCUCAGCCGACAGUACUUGUGUUGUUUGUCGUGUUCGUGUUCGUGUUCGUGUUACAGAGGUCACCCGCGGGUUUCCUUCCUGACGCCUCCAUCGUGGCAGUGCAGACAUUAUUUCACUCAGUGAUGGCCUGACUCGGCACGUGGGGGUAAACGCUGAGUUUGCCUUCGCCCAAGCAGAGCAGAAAUGUCUCCGCUACGCUCCAGAUCACAUGCAGGAUGCCCAAGAUCAGCCCAAUCCCGGAGUGAACUAAAGUGACCUGUAACAAACCUUAACCUUAAAAGGUUUAUUUGUAA